rnacentral:tRNA from 1 species
GCCCUCGUAGCUCAGUGGAUAGAGCGCCUCCCUGCGGAGGAGGAGGUCCCGCGUUCGAGUCGCGGCGAGGGCGCCA